AUGGCCUGGAUUCCUCUGUUCCUCGUGCUCCUCUCUCACUGCCCAGGGUCCCUCUCUUUGCCUGUGCUGAUUCAGCCGCCCUCCCUGUCUGCAUCUCCGGGAGCCACAGCCAGUCUCACCUGCACCCUCAGCAGUGGGUUCAGUGUUGGCGAUUACUGGAUAGCCUGGUUCCAGCAGAAGCCUGGGAGCCCUCCCCGGUUUCUCCUGACUUUCAAUUCAGACUUAGAAAAGCAGCAUCGCUCAGGGCUUCCCAGCCGCUUCUCUGGAUCCAAAAACGCCUCGGCCAAUGCGGGGCUGCUGACCAUCUCGGGGCUGCAGCCUGAGGACGAGGCCGACUAUUACUGCGCUACUGAUGAGGGCGGUUGGAGCAGCUACCAAGCCGCACAGCGUCUCAGAUGA